UUGCACAAUGGGCGCAAGCCUGAUGCAGCCAUGCCGCGUGUAUGAAGAAGGCCUUCGGGUUGUAAAGUACUUUCAGCAGUGAGGAAGGUGGAUAUGUUAAUAGCAUAUUCAUUUGACGUUAGCUGCAGAAGAAGCACCGGCUAACUCCGUGCCAGCAGCCGCGGUAAUACGGAGGGUGCGAGCGUUAAUCGGAAUUACUGGGCGUAAAGCGCAUGCAGGUGGUUUGUUAAGUCAGAUGUGAAAGCCCGGGGCUCAACCUCGGAAUUGCAUUUGAAACUGGCAAACUAGAGUACUGUAGAGGGGGGUAGAAUUUCAGGUGUAGCGGUGAAAUGCGUAGAGAUCUGAAGGAAUACCGGUGGCGAAGGCGGCCCCCUGGACAGAUACUGACACUCAGAUGCGAAAGCGUGGGGAGCAAACAGGAUUAGAUACCCUGGUAG
rnacentral:rRNA from 1 species